GACGAACGCUGGCGGCGUGCUUAACACAUGCAAGUGGAGCGACGAACCAGGCUUCGGCCUGGGGCAGAGCCGCGAACGGGUGAGUAACACGUGGGUAACCUGCCCCGAAGACCGGGACAGCCCGAGGAAACUCGAGCUAAUACCGGAUGUGGUCACUCCUCACAAGUGGAGUGAGCAAAGGGAGCUUCGGCCCCCGCUUUGGGAUGGGCCCGCGGCCCAUUAGCUUGUUGGUGAGGUAACGGCUCACCAAGGCUUCUAUGGGUAGCUGGUCUGAGAGGACGAUCAGCCACACUGGGACUGAGACACGGCCCAGACGCCUACGGGAGGCAGCAGUGGGGAAUCUUGCGCAAUGCGCGACAGCGUGACGCAGCAACGCCGCGUGGGGGAAGAAGGCCUUCGGGUUGUAAACCCCUUUCAGGAGGGACGAAGCUCCGGGAGUGAAUAGCUCUCCGGAGUGACGGUACCUCCACAAGAAGCCCCGGCUAACUACGUGCCAGCCGCCGCAGUAACAC
rnacentral:rRNA from 1 species